rnacentral:tRNA from 1 species
AGCCGCUGGUGUACGAGGCGCACGUACCGUCGUUCGCGCCGACGACCUUCAGUACCAACCUGAUCGCGGCUCC